rnacentral:lncRNA from 1 species
GAGCCAAGCCAUUCUCUGGGGAAAGAACAUUCCAGGCAGAGGGAACAGCACAUGCCAAGGCCCUGAGAUGUGGCGUUCAGCGGUGGUUUGGUUCGUCGGUGGGCAGCUGCAGCAUCUGAAUUUCCUGCUGCCUUCUUUGAGAGCGAACUUGUUUGUAACACAAUCAGAUUUGCCGGUUAUAGCUUCCCGGGCCCUAUCAACUGAGAAUUUCAUUGCUUUUAAAUUGCAAGGCUUUUGUUAUCACUACAACUGUGAACCAGACAGCCGGAAUCAAAGCAAAAAGAAAUGCCACCAGAUGAGGAGGAUUGAGUCAUAGCUUUGGUCUAGCCUGAGUUAGAGAGAAUGCAAGUUCCAGAAGCUUAUUUGCAACCUCAGUUCCUUAUCCAUGAUGUCGUGUUACUUUUUGUUUGCAACUUUCAGAUUAUUAUCCUUGAUGGAGGUUUAAUUGUGGCCUCUUUGCAUUUUUGCUGCAGAGGUGUCUGAAAUUGUUAUUAUAUAUUUUUUACCCUCACUCAAAGAAAAGGAGUAAACACUGUUUUCAUAAAAAGAAGAUACAAGAAUAUAAGCAUUGUGUAGAUGACUUCGGAGUCUGUCUGCAUCUGGCUAAUAGGAUAACAAAAACAGUUAUCAGAGAGAAGAGCCAAAGAAUAAAAUGUCAUUUUGCAGAACCUGGGCUGCAUUUCUGUUUGUAGUUUUAGCUUGGUAUGCAUUUAAACACAAUGGAGCCAUCAGGAGAGAAUAAACUUCGUGGUAAGAAAGUUUCCGUUGCUAUUUGUCAGCUGUCACGGGAUGUGACGGUGCGGUAGCUGGAGCUGAGCUUGUCACUUAAACUUCUGCUACUAGGGUGCCAUAAAUUGGAGGCAGGGACAGAAAGCAAUGAAAUCUAAAUGAAUCCUCAAGAUUCAGGAAAGACUUUUUAGGACCAGAGGGUCCAGGAAGAUGUUGCAGCAUGCUACAAUAGGAUAACUGCUGGCAAAAUGGUUUCUUUUUCUAGCUUCAGCUUCCAGCGUCGGCUAUUGUGUUCCCAAGUAAGCUGCCUGGGGUCCGCCUGCCGAGUUAUGUGUGAGUCUCUGCACAUAUUUUAAUGCUCAGCUGGCAGUUUUUAUGUGGCGUUAGUGUGCUUUGUGUCUAAUAAAAUGUUAAUUUCCCAUGAUUUCAUUUGCACAAAUCUAUCUCCAACUUAUCUGUAUUGAUACCUGAUUUAGGGCUGCUCAAAUAAAAGAUAAAAAGGUAGAGUCCAUCGAAGCAGUUCUAAUAAACGAGACAAAUUCAGGAACGUCUGUCGUCUCCCCUCGCAUUCCUUCGCACUUUUACCAGAAACCCAGUUGAAGAGAAAAAAGAAAUGGAGCUUGGAGGGGCAGGACAGCUCUUUUUAACCGAGCACCGACUAUGACAGUAAGGUAGGGGAAUGAACUUCUGUCUCACGCCUACCUUGUAAUAUUUCCUCUUCACCACUAUCCUGUGAAGGGAGAAGAUCUCCCCCGUUUAACAGAGGGAAAAAUGGAGAUGAGAGAAACUACGGAGCUUGUAUAGCUAAAACACACA